UGGGGAAUUUUCCGCAAUGGGGGCAACCCUGACGGAGCAACGCCGCGUGCGGGAGGAAGGCCUUUGGGUUGUAAACCGCUUUUCUCAGGGAAGAAGCUCUGACGGUACCUGAGGAAUCAGCCUCGGCUAACUCCGUGCCAGCAGCCGCGGUAAUACGGAGGAGGCAAGCGUUAUCCGGAAUCAUUGGGCGUAAAGCGUUCGCAGGCGGCGAUUCAAGUCUGCUGUCAAAGCCCGCAGCUCAACUGCGGACAGGCAGUGGAUACUGAAUCGCUUGAGUGCGGCAGGGGUAGAGGGAAUUCCCGGUGUAGCGGUGAAAUGCGUAGAUAUUGGAUGGAACACCGGUGGCGAAAGCGGCUCUCUGGUCCGAACCUGACGCUGAGGCGCGAAAGCGUGGGGAGCAAACAGGAUUAGAUACCCCCGUAGUCC
rnacentral:rRNA from 1 species